rnacentral:rRNA from 1 species
ACGGCGAGUGAAGCGGCAACAGCUCAAAUUUGAAAUCUGGCCUCACGGUCCGAGUUGUAAUUUGUAGAGGAUGUUUUGGGCACCGCUCCGGGUUAAAUUUCUUGGAACAGAAUGUCAAAGAGGGUGAGAGUCCCGUCUUGGCCCGCGGUAGGACCUAUGUAAAACUCCUUCGACGAGUCGACUUGUUUGGGAAUGCAGGUCAAAAUGGGUGGUAAAUUUCAUCUAAAGCUAAAUAUUGGCCAGAGACCGAUAGCGCACAAGUAGAGUGAUCGAAAGAUGAAAAGCACUUUGAAAAGAGAGUUAAACAGUAUGUGAAAUUGUUGAAAGGGAAGCGCUGGCAACCAGACUCGAGCGCGGUGUUCCCCCUGGCUUCUGCCUGGGUUAUUUCACCGUGACCGGGCCAUCAUCAGUUUCGGGGGUUGGUUAAAGGUUCGGGGAAUGUACCCACUCCUUCGGGGGUGGACUUAUAGCCCCGGGCGUCAUGCAACCUCCCGGGACUGAGGAACGCGCUUCGGCGAGGAUGAUGGCGUAAUGGUUGUCAGCGACCCGUCUUGAAACACGGACCAAGGAGUCUAACAUCUAUGCGAGUGUUCGGGUGUCAAACCCUUGCGCGGAAUGAAAGUGAACGGAGGUAGGAAGGCUCACGCCUGCACUAUCGACCGAUCCUGAUGUCUUCGGAUGGAUUUGAGUAAGAGCAUAGCUGUUGGGACCCGAAAGAUGGUGAACUAUGCGUGAAUAGGGUGAAGCCAGAGGAAACUCUGGUGGAGGCUCGCAGCGGUUCUGACGUGCAAAUCGAUCGUCAAAUUUGCGUAUAGGGGCGAAAGAC